AAAUAGGCUUUUUUACAGCUCUAAUGAAAGCCACACAGACUAACUGAUGUGAUUUAG
rfam:Astyanax mexicanus chromosome 16, whole genome shotgun sequence.